GCGCGAAAACUUUACAAUGCGGGCAACCGUGAUAAGGGAACCUCGAGUGCCUGUAUAUGCAGGCUGUCUGGGUGUCUAAAACACACCUAAAGAAAGGGCCGGGCAAGACCGGUGCCAGCCGCCGCGGUAAUACCGGCGGCUCGAGUGGUGGCCACUUUUAUUGGGCUUAAAGCGUUCGUAGCUGGGUUAUUAAGUCCCUUGGGAAAUCCGACGGCUUAACCGUCGGGCGUCUAAGGGAUACUGGCAAUCUUGGAACCGGGAGAGGUGAGGGGUACUUCGGGGGUAGGAGUGAAAUCCUGUAAUCCUCGAGGGACCACCUGUGGCGAAGGCGCCUCGCCAGAACGGCUUCGACAGUGAGGGACGAAAGCUGGGGGAGCAAACCGGAUUAGAUACCCGGGUAGUCCCAGCCGUAAACGAUGUGCGUUAGGUGUAUCGGUGACCACGAGUCACCGAGGUGCCGAAGGGAAACCGUGAAACGUACCGCCUGGGAAGUACGGUCGCAAGGCUGAAACUUAAAGGAAUUGGCGGGGGAGCACCACAACAGGUGGAGCCUGCGGUUUAAUUGGACUCAACGCCGGAAAUCUCACCGGAUAAGACAGCUGAAUGAUUGUCGGGCUGAAGACUCUACAUGACUAGCU
rnacentral:rRNA from 1 species